AUAUUGUGAGCUCGAUGAGUAGGGCGGGACACGUGGUAUCCUGUCUGAAUAUGGGGGGCCCAUCCUCCAAGGCUAAAUACUCCUGACUGACCGAUAGUGAACCAGUACCGUGAGGGAAAGGCGAAAAGAACCCCGGCGAGGGGAGUGAAAAAGAACCUGAAACCGUGUACGUACAAGCAGUGGGAGCACGCUUAGGCGUGUGACUGCGUACCUUUUGUAUAAUGGGUCAGCGACUUAUAUUCUGUAGCAAGGUUAACCGAAUAGGGGAGCCGAAGGGAAACCGAGUCUUAACUGGGCGUUAAGUUGCAGGGUAUAGACCCGAAACCCGGUGAUCUAGCCAUGGGCAGGUUGAAGGUUGGGUAACACUAACUGGAGGACCGAACCGACUAAUGUUGAAAAAUUAGCGGAUGACUUGUGGCUGGGGGUGAAAGGCCAAUCAAACCGGGAGAUAGCUGGUUCUCCCCGAAAGCUAUUUAGGUAGCGCCUCGUGAAUUCAUCUCCGGGGGUAGAGCACUGUUUCGGCAAGGGGGUCAUCCCGACUUACCAACCCGAUGCAAACUGCGAAUACCGGAGAAUGUUAUCACGGGAGACACACGGCGGGUGCUAACGUCCGUCGUGAAGAGGGAAACAACCCAGACCGCCAGCUAAGGUCCCAAAGUCAUGGUUAAGUGGGAAACGAUGUGGGAAGGCCCAGACAGCCAGGAUGUUGGCUUAGAAGCAGCCAUCAUUUAAAGAAAGCGUAAUAGCUCACUGGUCGAGUCGGCCUGCGCGGAAGAUGUAACGGGGCUAAACCAUGCACCGAAGCUGCGGCAGCGACGCUUAUGCGUUGUUGGGUAGGGGAGCGUUCUGUAAGCCUGCGAAGGUGUGCUGUGAGGCAUGCUGGAGGUAUCAGAAGUGCGAAUGCUGACAUAAGUAACGAUAAAGCGGGUGAAAAGCCCGCUCGCCGGAAGACCAAGGGUUCCUGUCCAACGUUAAUCGGGGCAGGGUGAGUCGACCCCUAAGGCGAGGCCGAAAGGCGUAGUCGAUGGGAAACAGGUUAAUAUUCCUGUACUUGGUGUUACUGCGAAGGGGGGACGGAGAAGGCUAUGUUGGCCGGGCGACGGUUGUCCCGGUUUAAGCGUGUAGGCUGGUUUUCCAGGCAAAUCCGGAAAAUCAAGGCUGAGGCGUGAUGACGAGGCACUACGGUGCUGAAGCAACAAAUGCCCUGCUUCCAGGAAAAGCCUCUAAGCAUCAGGUAACAUCAAAUCGUACCCCAAACCGACACAGGUGGUCAGGUAGAGAAUACCAAGGCGCUUGAGAGAACUCGGGUGAAGGAACUAGGCAAAAUGGUGCCGUAACUUCGGGAGAAGGCACGCUGAUAUGUAGGUGAAGUCCCUUGCGGAUGGAGCUGAAAUCAGUCGAAGAUACCAGCUGGCUGCAACUGUUUAUUAAAAACACAGCACUGUGCAAACACGAAAGUGGACGUAUACGGUGUGACGCCUGCCCGGUGCCGGAAGGUUAAUUGAUGGGGUCAGCGCAAGCGAAGCUCUUGAUCGAAGCCCCGGUAAACGGCGGCCGUAACUAUAACGGUCCUAAGGUAGCGAAAUUCCUUGUCGGGUAAGUUCCGACCUGCACGAAUGGCGUAAUGAUGGCCAGGCUGUCUCCACCCGAGACUCAGUGAAAUUGAACUCGCUGUGAAGAUGCAGUGUACCCGCGGCAAGACGGAAAGACCCCGUGAACCUUUACUAUAGCUUGACACUGAACAUUGAGCCUUGAUGUGUAGGAUAGGUGGGAGGCUUUGAAGUGUGGACGCCAGUCUGCAUGGAGCCGGCCUUGAAAUACCACCCUUUAAUGUUUGAUGUUCUAACGUGGACCCGUGAUCCGGGUUGCGGACAGUGUCUGGUGGGUAGUUUGACUGGGGCGGUCUCCUCCUAAAGAGUAACGGAGGAGCACGAAGGUUGGCUAAUCCUGGUCGGACAUCAGGAGGUUAGUGCAAUGGCAUAAGCCAGCUUGACUGCGAGCGUGACGGCGCGAGCAGGUGCGAAAGCAGGUCAUAGUGAUCCGGUGGUUCUGAAUGGAAGGGCCAUCGCUCAACGGAUAAAAGGUACUCCGGGGAUAACAGGCUGAUACCGCCCAAGAGUUCAUAUCGACGGCGGUGUUUGGCACCUCGAUGUCGGCUCAUCACAUCCUGGGGCUGAAGUAGGUCCCAAGGGUAUGGCUGUUCGCCAUUUAAAGUGGUACGCGAGCUGGGUUUAGAACGUCGUGAGACAGUUC
rnacentral:rRNA from 1 species